rnacentral:lncRNA from 1 species
GAUGUCAAGGCUGUAAAGUGAAGGCCACAUACAGUGAAGAGGGGACUCCAGUUUACCUAGAGCACAAGGUAUGUGGAUGAACUAAGGCCUUGUCCUUAUGAGAAAAACCAAAAACAAAAACACGGGCCUUCGAGUGAGGGAGGAAUGUAAAUAAACAAUGAGUACAUUUUGCACUCUUGAGUUAUGCCAAAAGUGCUUUGGAAUCUGGAGGAUGGAACUGUAACGGAAGAUGUCAAGGGCUGGUUGGAAAGCUUCAGGGAGGUUUAAAUCCAAAAGGAGGAGACUUCACUUUGCUCAGUGAAAAUAAGAAGGUGGCAGGUGACAUCACUAUGGUAGAGCAAGUGCUUAUGUGUGAGGCCCUGGGUUCAAUCCCCAGCUCCUAAAAUAAAUAGAUUAGAAUAAAUAAAAACAAGAGAAGAAAGAAACAACAAGAAGAAAAAAAUAUAGACAAGUUCUCCCCGUCCUUUGUAUAAACACGUAAACUUUCUAGGGUUUUCUAAGGAAAUGUCAAGAUCCUGCUAGGCAGUGGCUCUCUCUUCUUUAGAUUGAAGUGUAGGGAGGCUGAGUUCUACUUUUUCUUUCCUUAAGAAUUUCUCUUGAUGUUUUUCUCACCUGUUCUUACUGUCACCAAUCAUUUUUUUCUUCCUUUGUAAAAAUUCUCUUUGCUUCUCUCCCAACCUGGAUCUUAUAGAAAUCACCAAUGCUGUUUCAAAAUUCAGAGGAAGCUCCCAGUCCAUCAUGCUUACAGGUUGACUAAGCAAAAAGGG